rnacentral:rRNA from 1 species
GACGAAGGGGGCUAGCGUUGUUCGGAAUUACUGGGCGUAAAGCGCGUGUAGGCGGCUGCCAAAGUCGGGUGUGAAAGCCUUGAGCUCAACUCAAGAAAUGCACUCGAUACUUGGUGGCUAGAGGACCGGAGAGGAUAGUGGAAUUCCAGGUGUAGCGGUGAAAUGCGUAGAUAUCUGGAGGAACACCGGUGGCGAAGGCGGCAUCCUGGACCAAUAUUGACGCUGAGGAGCGAAAGCCAGGGGAGCAAACGGG